rnacentral:rRNA from 1 species
AUGGUUCUACCACACAAUUUUGGCUGCACGCACUUGCUUCGCAUGUUGAAUUAUGUUAGACAUGAAGUUCUAAACAAGACAUUAGAAGCUUUUGGUGAUCUCAAAGAUGAUGAGGAGCUUGGUCCUGCUGACUGGGUUACAGUUAAGAAAUAUAUCACAGGCUUGAGUAACUUGGAAGAUGAACAUGCACAUCCACAUGAUGACAAUCAUGAUCACAUACAUACCAUGAAUUUAAGGGAUGGCCGAGUGCGUAUUUUGAAUGGCAGGCAGGCUUUUUGUUUGCUUUUCUUUUUUGCCCUUAAAUAG